rnacentral:rRNA from 1 species
GGGGAAUUUUGUGCAAUGGGCGAAAGCCUGACACAGCGACACCGCGUGGAUGAAGAAGCCCCUUGGGGUGUAAAAUCCUGUCGGCUGGAACGAAAAAAAUGACGGUACCAGCAGAGGAAGCAUCGGCUAACUACGUGCCAGCAGCCGCGGUAAGACGUAGGAUGCGAGCGUUGUCCGGAUUUAUUGGGCGUAAAGAGUUCGUAGGCGGUUUGUUAAGUCUGAUGUUAAAGAUCAGGGCUCAACCCUGAGAGUGCAUUGGAUACUGGCAGACUGGAGUGUGGUAGAGGCUAGUGGAAUUCCUAGUGUAGCGGUGAAAUGCGUAGAUAUUAGGAAGAACACCAGUGGCGUAGGCGACUAGCUGGGCCAUAACUGACGCUGAGGAACGAAAGCCAGGGGAGCGAAU